rnacentral:rRNA from 1 species
ACGCUCGACACCUACGGGAGGCAGCAGUGGGGAAUAUUGCACAAUGGGGGAAACCCUGAUGCAGCAACGCCGCGUGAAGGAAGACGGUUUUCGGAUUGUAAACUUCUGUUCUUAGUGAAGAUAGUGACGGUAGCUAAGGAGCAAGCCACGGCUUAACUACGUGCUAGCAGCCGCGGUAAUCUGAGCGGGCUGGCAAGGC